rnacentral:rRNA from 1 species
UACGAAGGGGGCUAGCGUUGUUCGGAAUUACUGGGCGUAAAGGGCGCGUAGGCGGGCCGCCAAGUCCGCGGUGAAAUCCCCCGGCUCAACCGGGGAACUGCCGCGGAUACUGGAGGUCUCGAGGGAGGUAGGGGCAUGCGGAACUGCGGGUGGAGCGGUGAAAUGCGUUGAUAUCCGCAGGAACUCCGGUGGCGAAGGCGGCGUGCUGGACCUUUUCUGACGCUGAGGCGCGAAAGCCAGGGGAGCGAACGGG